ensembl:snRNA LOC120094434 U7 small nuclear RNA
UGGUCUUAUAACUCAAGAAGAAUUUUUUUAGCAGGUUUUCUGACUUUGGUCAGAAAAUCCAA